UACGGGGGGGGCAAGCGUUGUUCGGAAUUACUGGGCGUAAAGGGCGCGUAGGCGGUUCGCUAAGUUGAAUGUGAAAACUCUGGGCUUAACCCAGAGCCUGCAUUCAAUACUGGCGGGCUAGAGUUCUGGAGGGGAUAGCGGAAUUCCUGGUGUAGCGGUGAAAUGCGUAGAUAUCGGGAGGAACACCGGUGGCGAAGGCGGUUCUCUGGGCCUGUACUGACGCUGAGGAGCGAAAGCGUGGGGAGCGAACAGG
rnacentral:rRNA from 1 species